rnacentral:rRNA from 1 species
GAUCAUGGCUCAGGACGAACGCUGGCGGCGCGCCUAACACAUGCAAGUCGAACGAGAGAGAGGGAGCUUGCUUCCUCAAUCGAGUGGCGAACGGGUGAGUAACGCGUGAGGAACCUGCCUCAAAGAGGGGGACAACAGUUGGAAACGACUGCUAAUACCGCAUAAGCCCACGACCCGGCAUCGGGUUGAGGGAAAAGGAGCAAUCCGCUUUGAGAUGGCCUCGCGUCCGAUUAGCUAGUUGGUG